UGGUUCAUUCAAAUUUCUGCCCUAUCAACUUUCGACGGCUGGGUCUUGGACAGCCAUGGUGACAAGGUCAACGGAGGGUUAGGGCUCGACCCCGGAGAAGGAGCCUGAGAAACGGCUUACUACAUCCAAGGAAGGCAGCAGGCGCGCAAAAUUACCCAAUCCCGACUCGGGGAGGUAGUGACAAUAAAUACUGAUACAGGGCUCAUUUGGGUCUUGUAAUUGG
rnacentral:rRNA from 1 species